GCAUCACAUCCAAACACAAUUCUUAGUGAUGAUGUAUUAUACUUGUUAUCUGCUUGUUAUAUAGGCAAUAACAAUUGGGAAUCUUACCAUUUAUUUCACUGAAGAUUACACAUACAGAUCUUAGAGAGAAAAAGCUUUAGCUGUGCUAAAAUAUCGAUGUUAUUCGUAAGUGGGAAAUAAUGAUGGAUUUGUGUAAUGGAUGAAGGAAAUUUAGCAUGCCUUUACGAAGAACAUUAGAUAUUUUAGGACAGAUACAUGUUUAUAUAUGUCUCUCUUCCAGGGUAAAGUUUCUCUACUUUUUCUAACAUGUUUUUUGGGGGAGAUUUAUAUUCCUAAAUUGCCUGAUAUUGACCCUCAAUUACAAAGAAACGCAACACCUGCAUUCAAUGUGAUGGAUCGUCCACCUACAAGUGAACUCCAUCAACGAUAAGCUUACAACUUCGUCUUCUUUUCUUGUCAUUUUAAUAAUGCAUUAUCUGGAAGAGUUAGCAUUGAGUUCUUGAAGUGGAUAUGAUGAUCAGUUGAGUAAUCAAUAUUGUGUAAUCUAAUUACCAUGCAUUUAUAUAAUUCCUAUGUUAAAUUUACAAAAUGUAGGUGCUUUUAACAGUAAUACUGCUACCUAGAGUUCAGAAAUCAUUGUAUCAGUACAGCGUAUUUGAUGGAUCUAAAUAUAUAUUACCACUUGGAAUCGGUAGUUAGUGGAUGAAAUAUCGAUAGUUUUGGGAUUGUUAAUUGGUUUAAUAAAAUAUUGAGUAAAUGGUAUCCUAAAAACAGUUGUAUUUGGUUAUAGAUUAUAUUACUGUCAUUUUUCUUUAUCUAAUUUGAUUUCUAUUUAUUUCUUCAACCAGUGCCAUUCAUAUCGAAAAGCCAUCAACCACCAUCUGAUGUGCAAUACAGCGCUAUCUUUCGAUGGUUGAUUGGUUUUUUAAUAUAAAACGGUGAUCUUGGAGGCAUGUUUUUAAUGUGAUUAUCUGUUUUGGGUUUCCCCUGAAAUUGUUUAAUUAAAUUUGUACUGAUUUCGGUUUAUUUGCUCGCAAGGGCUUUGAUUAUCGCUAUGAUUUUGUACAGUUUGUUUUAUUUUGUGUUUUUUCUAUGCAUUUAGUCUUCUUGAUACCUUUUAUUUCAAAGAAUGACCAUCAACAAAACACAACUCCACCGUAGUUGUCUUGUCAAUAGCUUUUGUUGGUGGUUUUUUGGAAGUUGAUUUGUAUCUCAGGACCCUUUUUGUCAGUAUGCUUUCCAAUUUAAUCUAACGACUCUAUGUCGUCGGUAUUGUUUUUGAUGAAAAUCUAUAAGGACCCUAUAUGUCAGUGUGCUUUACGAUGAAAAUCCAAGGACCCUUUACAUGACAGAGAGAGUAUGCUUUCCUAUUUAAGCUGAGGACUCUUUACAUGACCUUUUCGAUGUAAUCUAAAGAGACCCUCUAUGUUAGUAUGCUUUCGAUGUAAUCUUUGGACCAUUUUAUGUCAGUAUGUUUUCCGAUGUAAUCUACAGACACUACCUGUUAACAUGGUUCCCAAAGUAUUCUAUGGUCCCUUUCCAUCCGUACACUUUCAAGAAUUUUGGAUGGUCUUUACACACUGUUCAGGUAUCACAUUAAUAAUUUACCUUAUGUUGUUCAAUCGAUGGUUUGGUAUCUGUGUCAAAACUCUGCUAUUGAAAAUUCCACAUGAAAAUGAUGAGGUCUUUUGGCAAUGCUAGGAUGUAAACCAUUUCCCUCUUUGUUGUAUGCUUUAAAGUGGAAUACUUUUAGCCAUUGUUUGUUCAUUUCAACGUAUAGAUUUUAGACCUCCUAGAAUAAAAAUAAGUCAUGUGAUCUCUUGCUUGCAGUUUUACUGAUUAAGGCAGAUUUUUUGCAGUUGUCAGCAAUUUAAGUUUUCUGAGAGGUUCUUCUGUAGUAGUUCUACUCAUACAAGUGCAGGUAAAACUUUGUAUACUGAAGCUACAGCUGUUGCUACUGUUUCUAGAGGAAGGGGAUUGUUCCAUACCAUUCCUCUCACUGCAUUGGCUAUUCAAAAAUUCUGAGAGUUUUGGUAUUAAUUACUUCUGCAUCUAAGCAAAUAAUACAAGUUAUAUAUGAAGGAAAAAGUUUUCUUAAUGUCAUUUGUUUUAGCUAUUCGAUACAUUUUUUACUGUGAUGCUUCUGGAGAAGACAAUGUUGGUCUCCUCAUCGGAGAUUCUGCCGUCCACAGAGAUGCUCAGGUUCUAAUAAUGACCACUGGGAUUCUAUGAAAUAUGUUAUAUCAGAGCUGUGUAUGGUGUAAGUUCUUCAUAUCUUUCUAUUGUUAUGUAUUGGAAUCCAAGCCCCAACCUUGUCUGCAAGUACCGGUAUUACCUUUCCUUUUUGGACAGAAAGUGGACUUUUCCUGUUGAUGUGAUUGUUUUGGAUGAUGUACACUAUCCAAGUGACAUAUUCAGGGUAUUAUCUGGGAAGAGUUACUGUGUGCUUUUCGUGUCCUAAAUUUAUAACAGGAAGCAACUGUUAGAUGUGGUUUAACUGUAUGUAUAUAUUUUUAUAGGUCAUUUAUUGUCCAAAAGAUGUUCAACUAAUAUGAUUGUCCGCGACAGUAGCAUACCUAGAUGAGUUAUGUGGUUGGAUCAAUCAGGUUGCUCGAGUUAUAGAUACAGGAUUGCACUCAUAAGACAAGGGACAAUCUUACCAAAAAGAUGUGUUAUGUGGCAGUUCAGUAUGUUAAUUAUUAGAUGAGUGUGGGAUGACUAACGAGUGAAGUGGAUCGCAUUGAAAAGCUAGUAAACACAGAUGUUUCACCUACUAGUUCAAUCAAUUGUAUAGUAUUUGUGUCAUAGUUCUAAUAUCGAAAAUUUGAUGUGCAAACAAUUAGCUCGUUCAGCUAGUAUGCUAUGAUGUGAACAUUCGCCCCUUUCUAUUACUGUCAGGGAUAAAAAGUUGUAAAAAAGAAGAUAUAUUGUGGGCUUGGUGAUCACAUUGAUUAUUUAUCUUGUCCAAUAUAUGGUAUGGUAGCUGGUAUUAAAGUUUUCUUA